ACUAUAAAUGUCUUUCCUUAUCUGUGUGCGCUCUUAUCUCAUUGUUCUAUUUUUUCCCUUCAUUUAUAUUAACUCUUUCUUACCUUUUUUUCUGAACUUCUAGGCCUUCUCUUUCCAGAACUGGUGGAAGACAAAUGAAACGGCCAAGAUGGUAAGAUGGCCGCCCAUGCCCCAUCAUUCUUUGGGAUGCAUCUUUAUCUCCAGCAAGUAAUGACACCCAUUCUUCUGUUAAGCUCACCUGGGGAACUUAUCAGCAGUUGCUGAAACAGAAAUGCUGGCAGAAUGGCCGAGUACCCAAGCCUGAAUCGGGUUGUACUGAAAUACAUCAUCAUGAGUGGUCUAAGAUGGCACUCUUUGAUUUUUUGUUACAGAUUUAUAAUCGUUUAGAUUCAAAUUGCUGUGGAUUCAGACCUCGCAAGGAAGAUGCCUGUGUACAGAAUGGAUUGAGGCCAAAAUGUGAUGACCAAGGUUCUGCGGCUCUAGCACACAUUAUCCAGCGAAAGCAUGACCCAAGGCAUUUGGUUUUUAUAGACAACAAGGGUUUCUUUGACAGGAGUGAAGAUAACUUAAACUUCAAAUUGUUA
rnacentral:sRNA from 1 species